AACGAACGCUGGCGGCAGACUUAACACAUGCAAGUCGAGCGCCCCGCAAGGGGAGCGGCAGACGGGUGAGUAACGCGUGGGAACGUACCUUUUGGUUCGGAACAACUCCGGGAAACUGGAGCUAAUACCGGAUAAGCCCUAACGGGGAAAGAUUUAUCGCCGAAAGAUCGGCCCGCGUCUGAUUAGCUAGUUGGUGAGGUAACGGCUCACCAAGGCGACGAUCAGUAGCUGGUCUGAGAGGAUGAUCAGCCACACUGGGACUGAGACACGGCCCAGACUCCUACGGGAGGCAGCAGUGGGGAAUAUUGGACAAUGGGCGCAAGCCUGAUCCAGCCAUGCCGCGUGAGUGAUGAAGGCCUUAGGGUUGUAAAGCUCUUUUGUCCGGGAAGAUAAUGACUGUACCGGAAGAAUAAGCCCCGGCUAACUUCGUG
rnacentral:rRNA from 1 species